rnacentral:rRNA from 1 species
AACGCGAAGAACCUUACCAACCUUUGACAUGGGGAUUUUGGUGAGCAGAGAUGUUCAUCUUCAGUUCGGCUGGGUCCCACACAGGUGCUGCAUGGCUGUCGUCAGCUCGUGUCGUGAGAUGUUGGGUUAAGUCCCGCAACGAGCGCAACCCUCAUCUUCAGUUGCCAUCAUUGAGUUGGGCACUCUGAAGAAACUGCCGGUGACAAGCCGGAGGAAGGUGGGGAUGACGUCAAGUCCUCAUGGCCCUUACGGGUUGGGCUACACACGUGCUACAAUGGCGGUGACAAUGGGCUGCAAGCCUGCAAGGGUGAGCUAAUCUCAAAAAGCCGUCUCAGUUCGGAUUGCACUCUGCAACUCGAGUGCAUGAAGUCGGAAUCGCUAGUAAUCGUGGAUCAGCAUGCCACGGUGAAUACGUUCCCGGGCCUUGUACACACCGGCUAC